rnacentral:rRNA from 1 species
UAAUACGUAGGGCGCGAGCGUUGUCCGGAAUUAUUGGGCGUAAAGAGCUCGUAGGCGGCUUGUCGCGUCUGCUGUGAAAUCCCAGGGCUUAACUCUGGGCGUGCAGUGGGUACGGGCAGGCUAGAGUGCGGUAGGGGUGAUUGGAAUUCCUGGUGUAGCGGUGGAAUGCGCAGAUAUCAGGAGGAACACCGAUGGCGAAGGCAGGUCACUGGGCCGUUACUGACGCUGAGGAGCGAAAGCAUGGGGAGCGAACAGG